GAUAAAACAAAGGCAGGGACUUGUCAGAUUUUAUAGAUGAUGCUAAUGAUUCUGCUAUUUGUUUUAGGUGUAAUGAGAUUCAUUGAAGAAUUCGAAGAGCAGAAUGAGCAACAGAUUUUCCUUAGUGAAAGCUUCUCUAGCUGCUACAUGAAGCAUUGGAUAGACAAAGGGGCCAAGAUGGCUGACUAG
rnacentral:lncRNA from 13 species